UGUUUUUCCUUAAAUCGUUAAAAACUCAUGAAGACUCGAGUUGGUUUGCUGACCUAUUUAGUUGACAAGUCAAGUGCGGUCAUCGGAGUUGUUUAAUAACAACAUUGAAGAACGAGUAAAAGAGCGGAGGUAUUUGGUGGUACUGGGCGUUGGCUGAAAUGGGACAUGUGGUGUAUCGAGAGUAAGUCGAUGAUAUAGAGUAGGCACCAUGGUAAAAAGAUGGUCCACGUUAAAGUCAACGAACGAAAUUAGUAUAACUUCAGGUCUUAUUGCUCAAUAUUCUCUGAAUACAUGUGCAAGUGAGUGGUGAUGUUUUGAUGUUGAGAUUAUUUAAAGUUGUUUAGUGUAAUUGCGUCAAUUCGAAUGAAAAAAAAGCACACAAAAAAUGCCUUCAUUAGCUAUCUAUCUUUUGUUUCUUUAGUUACAGGUUCACGAAAGAAACUGGGAGAGAUGAUUUGGUAAAUGGUUUUUCAAAACCUUAUUGAAAGGGUACAUCAAUCAGUAUUCUGCAUGUCGCAUCUUGAGAACUGAUGAAAAUUUAUCUGAGUAUGCACAAUAAUUUUAUACAUGAGUUAAAUGUUAUCAAUGCCUUUCUCCUUUGUACCAUGCUUCAGUCAAUUGUGACCCAACAGGGCAGAUUGUAAGGUACAAUGAUAUCUUUCAUACAUGGAUUAAAAAAUUAAUUUUUGCAAACAUGCUUUGGUAUUUGACUGAAGUGUUAUGUCGUAAAUAAUAGCAGGCUAAAGACAAUUACCACUUUAAUUUAGUUGCUAACUUUUAAUGGUAUUAUUAAAUUAUAGGUAGUUCAA